UACGUAGGGGGCAAGCGUUGUCCGGAAUCAUUGGGCGUAAAGAGCGCGUAGGCGGCCCAGUAAGUCCGCUCUGAAAGUCAGGGGCUCAACCCCUGAAUGCGGGUGGAUACUGCUGGGCUAGAGUCCGGAAGAGGCGAGUGGAAUUCCUGGUGUAGCGGUGAAAUGCGCAGAUAUCAGGAGGAACACCAAUGGCGAAGGCAGCUCGCUGGGACGGUAUUGACGCUGAGACGCGAAAGCGUGGGGAGCAAACAGG
rnacentral:rRNA from 1 species